CGGCGGCGGCAGCGGCUUCAACGACUGUUGGUUGGCUGGGCGGCAGGCUGACCGGUUUCCUUUCUCUCCCGUUCUCCUCAGCCCCGUCUCCGCACUACUCACCGCCACUACUACCACCUACCCCGCCUUGGGCAGCCGAGUAACUUUGACCCCCACCCUCCCGCCUCCCACCCCGCCCGGCUCUCUCCCGCCUCCUCAGGAAACCGUUUCCUUUUUCUCUUUCCUUUUUUUUUUUAAACCCCCCUUAGCCCCAAAGCGGAGGCAGCCAGCUAUAACAAUCCCCCCCCCCACGCUCCUCCUCCCAGAGUCCAGAAGCCGGCCCCUUACGCCGCUUCCGUAGCGUAGCGACUCACCGAGAAGCGAAGAGCCCGCCCUGCGGAAACAGCGCCGAAAGCCGUCGUGAAUACCAAGGUUUGCAAGUCACAGGGGAAAUGCAAGCCCUAAUGAAGAGCUGUGGACAGCGCCAGAGCAACCUGGAAAACAGACAGGACUUGGGGGCGGGGACCAAUGGAAGCCAAGAAAUCCAGAGGCUGUCCAGUUAAAGAUGAAGAACCAAAAAAGGGGAGAACCAGGGAGGAAGAGGAUUGAAGUUGCCCAUCAGCCAUGAGCACCUGGACAGCAGGAAAGUGGUACCCAGAGUUUCCCGCAGACCCUCCCACAGUACCUCAUCUCUGGAGACGGAGCUGAUUUCUGCAGCCAGAGAUUCAGAGAAGGAAGCAGAGAAGAG